rnacentral:rRNA from 1 species
CACGUAGGUGGCAAGCGUUAUCCAGAAUUAUUGGGCGUAAAGAGCGCGCAGGUGGUUGAUUAAGUCUGAUGUGAAAGCCCACGGCUUAACCGUGGAGGGUCAUUGGAAACUGGUCGACUUGAGUGCAGAAGAGGGAAGUGGAAUUCCAUGUGUAGCGGUGAAAUGCGUAGAGAUAUGGAGGAACACCAGUGGCGAAGGCGGCUUCCUGGUCUGUAACUGACACUGAGGCGCGAAAGCGUGGGGAGCAAACAGGAUUA